CUGUUUCCUUUUGCAGCACAUAUACUGAAAUUGGAAUGAUAUAGAGUCAAUUAGCGUGGCCCCUGUGCAAAGAUGACAUACAAAUAAAUAUAAAAAUAAACAAAUAGAU